AGAGUUUGAUCCUGGCUCAGAUUGAACGCUGGCGGAAUGCUUUACACAUGCAAGUCGAACGGCAGCAUAGAGAGCUUGCUCUCUGAUGGCGAGUGGCGAACGGGUGAGUAAUAUAUCGGAACGUACCUAGUAAUGGGGAACAACCAGCCGAAAGGUUGGCUAAUACCGCAUACGACCUACGGGUGAAAGCAGGGGAUCUUCGGACCUUGCGUUAUUAGAGCGGCCGAUAUCUGAUUAGGUAGUUGGCGGGGUAAAGGCCCACCAAGGCGACGAUCCGUAGCUGGUCUGAGAGGAUGAUCAGCCACACUGGAACUGAGACACGGUCCAGACUCCUACGGGAGGCAGCAGUGGGGAAUAUUGGACAAUGGGCGCAAGCCUGAUCCAGCAAUGCCGCGUGGGUGAAGAAGGCCUUCGGGUUGUAAAGCCCUUUUGUACGGGAAGAAAGCUUCCAGGUUAAUACCCUGGGAGGAUGACGGUACCGUAAGAAUAAGCACCGGCUAACUUCGUGCCAGCAGCCGCGGUAAUACGAAGGGUGCAAGCGUUAAUCGGAAUUACUGGGCGUAAAGCGUGCGUAGGUGGUUGUUUAAGUCUGUCGUGAAAGCCCUGGGCUCAACCUGGGAAUGGCGAUGGAUACUGGGCGACUAGAGUGUGGUAGAGGAUGGCGGAAUUCCCGGUGUAGCGGUGAAAUGCGUAGAGAUCGGGAGGAACAUCUGUGGCGAAGGCGGCCAUCUGGACCAACACUGACACUGAGGCACGAAAGCGUGGGGAGCAAACAGGAUUAGAUACCCUGAUAGUCCACGCCCUAAACGAUGCGAACUGGAUGUUGGUCUCAACUCGGAGAUCAGUGUCGAAGCUAACGCGUUAAGUUCGCCGCCUGGGGAGUUCGGUCGCAAGACUGAAACUCAAA
rnacentral:rRNA from 1 species